rnacentral:lncRNA from 1 species
GAAGCUUGACGGCUAGGGUUUCCUAGUCUCUCUAAAUCUCUGCAGAGCUUCGCUCAAGUUUCGGAAUGAGAGAAAAAAUGAGAGGAGGCAGCUUCAUUUAUAGGAAAAGAAUGAAACCCUAGGUCAUUUACCCUAAUGGGCUGCAGUCCUAACGGGCUCUCCUUAAGAAAUUUUUGGGCCAGGAACCGGACCGUUACAAUUCUCCCCCACUUGAAUGGAAUUCGUCCCUGAAUUAUGUGUGUCGAUACUACAACUCUAACAUCCCGAACCCAAAUGGGUAACCAACUCGUCCUUUGAAAUCUAAUGGUUCAUGCAACAUACCAGGUUCCAUAUUCCUCAGGGAGAUCCAACGUCCUCUUAAAUCCCAAAUCGAUUCUCCAACAGCGUUCAUCCCUAGAUUGCUUUCACCUCAUAUGCAUUUCCAUAUCACCACCACUCUGGUCGACGUAAUUCUCUGAUGGUCAUGUACCUCUUCAUCCUUUCAUAAAGCAGCUCACCAUCCACAAUUAUAUCUGCUAAGCGGUUUCUUGGAUCAUCUCAUGCUCGAGAUGCUGAUCUCCCCCACUU